UGCUUCUUUAUACACAUCUCCAAACAUGGAAUUUGAGCAGUACUCCAUCAGAAAUUAGGCACAUGGUACAUUGAAAAACAAGUUUAAAAAAACAUCAAAUCACGUCUGAGAGUCAUUCAAGAGAUUCGUCGCCACGCUCCCAGACCUAAAAGGGAAAACCAGAGCACGUCAGCGGCCUGAUCUGGGGUGACACUUCGGGGAGAAACUGACAAUAUUCGCUGUUCCCGACAUCUCGAGGCUGUGGAGGUGAAUCAGACUGCAAGAAGGAUCUCGCUCGUCCCUCCGCAGGAGGAGAUGGGGAAGUCAGAAUCAUCCGUUCUGGGGAGUUUUCCUUCCAUCUCACUUCAUCCCCGUUCCUGCUGUCUCUGGAUGGUUCGCUGUAGCCACAGUGCUCUGACCGGACACAUCUGUGUCACGGUGCCUUCUCCAAGCCGAUCCCAACGCCGAGCCAAGCCUCCCUAUGAUGCAAGUUGGAAACUUAAACAAAGCCUGUGGACCAACAGUGAAUAAUGUCAGCCAGAGAUCUGGCUCACGAAGUUCUUAAUGCCUUCGAGCUAGCAAGGUCAAAGGGUCUGGGAUUGCUCUUCUGCCAAAUCAUCCAGGAGCAGCAUGGAAUGGGACAGCUCCACAGCACUGGCACCAGCCAGCACUUCCUGAGCUGUGCAGCCCCAAGGACAGGUGAUGACGAUGGGAAGCCUUGAGCCAGGACAGCUCACUUCUCGGCUCACAGGAUACGAACCACUCAUGGAAGUCUCAUGCUUUGUACAAGGAAAGAGAAGCCAGAGGGACUCUCCAGCAGUUACACAACAUGCAGGAGCUGUUUGAGAGCUGUGUCCUGAAGGAUUAGCUACAAAUCUUUGUUCCAUUUACAGCUGUAGUCUUGUGUCUGUGUGCAUCCUGUAAAGAAGUGUAGAAAUGAAUAAAU